rnacentral:rRNA from 1 species
GACAGAGGGUGCAAACGUUGUUCGGAAUUACUGGGCGUAAAGCGCGUGUAGGCGGCCCUGCAAGUCGGGUGUGAAAUCCCAUGGCUCAACCAUGGAAGUGCACUCGAAACUGAGUGGCUAGAGUACGAAAGAGGGUCGCGGAAUUCCCGGUGUAGAGGUGAAAUUCGUAGAUAUCGGGAGGAACACCGGUGGCGAAGGCGGCGACCUGGGUCGAUACUGACGCUGAUGCGCGAAAGCGUGGGGAGCAAACAGG